CCUACGGGAGGCAGCAGUGAGGAAUAUUGGUCAAUGGGCGGAAGCCUGAACCAGCCAAGCAGCGUGCAGGAUGACGGCCCUACGGGUUGUAAACUGCUUUUAUACGGGAAUAACGCGCCUUACGUGUAGGGCUUUGCAUGUACCGUAUGAAUAAGGACCGGCUAAUUCCGUGCCAGCAGCCGCGGUAAUACGGAAGGUCCGGGCGUUAUCCGGAUUUAUUGGGUUUAAAGGGAGCGUAGGCCGCAUGUCAAGCGUGCUGUGAAAUGUCCGGGCUCAACCCGGGCCUUGCAGUGCAAACUGGCGUGCUAGAGUGCGAGGGAAGCAGGCGGAAUGCGUGGUGUAGCGGUGAAAUGCUUAGAUAUGACGAAUAACCCCGAUUGCGAAGGCAGCUUGCUGGAGCGGAACUGACGCUGAUGCUCGAAAGCGCGGGUAUCGAACAGGAUUAGAUACCCCGGUAGUC
rnacentral:rRNA from 1 species